rnacentral:tRNA from 1 species
GCUCCCAUCGUUCAACGGAUAGGACGCAAGAUUCCGAAUCUUGUGAUGCAGGUUCGAUUCCUGCUGGGGGCA